UUAUUUACUUUAUUCAGUUGCUUACACCACAGUGAAACAAAUGCUAAGUAAUUUAUGAUUGGAGAACACUACAAAAUUGCUCUAAACUCACUUGUACUGAUGAAAAUGAUCUUCUGAAAUUGAGGGCAACUCAGUCCCUUGGGUGCCUGAUGGGAAAUGGUGAGGGAGUGGUUCUUCAGGAUUUUUCUUUGGAGAGCUUCCAUCAAAGUUCUUUCAAAAUCAAUGAGACUGCGAAACAAUCAUGAAAUUAAUUUCCUGCUUCUUAUAUGCUAUUUUAUUUCUGAACUGUCAGUAUUAUUCAAAAGUCUGUCUCUAGUUUAACAUUGUUGAAAUCAGAUUGAUGCAUAACUUGAAAUUUCAUUUUCAGGAGGGAUUAAGAAGGAAGACAAGAAAGGACUCUAAGUUAUUGAGACAAUAAAAUGGUAAACAAUUAAAAAAAAAGAUAAAAGUGUUUCUUUGAAAGUGUACAAAUUUUUGGAAGUUACUAGUGGAUUGAAGGAGAGAAUUUAAGUUAAAUUUUGUUCUGAGCAGAUGCAAUAUAAAGGAGAUUAAGUUGUUAAUAGCAGCAAAGUCAAUGAUGUAUUUAAGUAAACCAAUUUUAAGUAUCAUUUACCUUUUACCUUUGUUCUUUGAUCACUAUGCUGUUGUGCAAAGCAUCUGGUUCUGAGGGUAGAAAACCUUUUCAGGUCCAAGGUUAGAAAGACUAUUUGAGUGGUAAGAUUUCCUUUCUAAUGUGGUUCAUUUUAAUUAUAAAUACAUAAAUUGAAGAGUUGCAUAGUUUUUGAGCACCCUCUUAGUAAACAAAAAUAUAUCCAUGUUAAGACUAAAUUUGAAAAGGACAUGCUAUGAUGACAUAGACUGUGAGAAUUUUAUAAUAAUAGAUUCUAUUAUUUAUUGCUAUUAAUGAUGCUGAUGAUGCAGUCAUCUAUUUCUUCAGCUGGUAAACAGUAACAAUUCUGACAAACAGAAAGAGUAUAUUGUUACUGUUCUGAGUUAGGGGAGAAUCAUUAGCACAAUAUCACGGAGCAGAUAAGUCCUAUGUGUGGAUUAUACCGUAGAAGCUACCAGCAACUGUUACGCAUCUGUGCAAGACCAUCCAUUAGACAGAUACAUGGCAAAAGAAAAAUUGAGCUUAAAAGGCUAAUGAAUGUGACUAAGAAGUCAUAAUGGUAAACCAGUAGAUUCUAUACUAUAAGUACUGUUGUACACAUAGGGAGGAUCAUCAUUUCUGUUUCCAGGCUUCUAAUAUUUUUAUACUUUUGAGAAUGUUUCUGUGUAUGUUAUGGAGAUGCUACCGUGUAAUACUACCUGUGUAAUAUUCUUCACCAAAACUGGGCAGAGAUGCCCAUAAUAUCUAAUUUGUUUAUUUGCAGUGAUGCAGACACUGAUUAUUGCUCCCAAAAGGGGUGAAAUAUAACAGUUACAGUGGACUGGAAGGUCAAGAAGAGAAAAUGUUAUUCUAGUUCAAGCUCUGAUUAUAGUUGCACUUUAUACUCAUGUCACUUCUUCACGAGUGUUGUACUCAGAAGCCAUAAACAGUAAUUUGACAAUGU
ensembl:lncRNA